GACGAACGCUGGCGGCGUGCCUAAUACAUGCAAGUAGGACGCAGUUGCGAACGGGUGAGUCACGCGUAGGUAACUAGCUAUUAGAGGGGGAUAACUAUUGGAACCGAUAGCUCAUACCGCAUCCUAGUAGAUGGACCUUCGUUGUUUUAGCUAGUAGGUAGGGUAAUGGCUUACCUAGGCAACGAUACAUAGCCGACCUGAUAGGGUGACCAGCACAAUGGGACUGGGACAAGGCUCAGAAUCCCACGGGAGGCCAGAGGAGGGGAGUUUCGGCAAGGGGGCGAACCCCUACCGCGCAACGCCGCGGGAGUGAAGAAAGUCUUCGGAUCGGAAAGCUCUGUUGUUAAGGAAGCGGUACUUAACCAGAAAGGGACGGCUAACUACGUGCCAGCAGCCGCGGUAAUUC
rnacentral:rRNA from 1 species